GCCGCGGUAAAGUAGUUCCCUGUUCUGUUCUUACUCACCCGCCAUUUUGCUCCGGCGCGGCGGCCACCACCUUGUAGUACAUGAGCCAGUCCUUGUAACGCCUGGCCGCGCGCCGCGCCGCGUCCUCUUCGCCGGCGCCGCCGGCCCUGGCGAGCACGCCGUCGUCGAACAGCCCCUCCCAGAGCGCGCGUGGCGCGAGCCCGGCGCGGCGGGCGCCGUCCUCGCGGCCAGCGGCCACCGCGGCUGGGCACACGGCGACGGCCUGCAGGAGGUCCAUGGACAUCUGCCACGCGUCCCCCUGGGCGCACCGCACGAGCGCGAGGUAGAAGUAGGCGCACGCGGCGACGCGGCGGUUGUCCAGCCCCGCCGUCUCGCCGUGCUCCGGCAGCAGCGCGGGGGCCUGCAGCGCCUCCUCGACGCCCGCCAGGCAGACGGCCGCCGCGCCGUCGACGGGGGACGGGAGGAGCGCGUCGAUGGAGCCGUGGAGCGCGGCGAGGACGGCGUCGUCUUCGUUCUCCUCCUCCUCCUGCGCUCCGGAGAGGUUUUUACGACAAUGGUGCCGCCGUGGGGGCGUGAGCAGAGCGAGACAGCGGCGGCGCGUGGCGUGGAGCGCGGCGGGGUCGGCGAGGAGCGCGCGCAGGUGGUGGUGGAGGAAGGCGAUGAGGGAGUCCAUGCAAGUGCGCGGCAGCACCGCCGCUGGCGCCGUCGGCAUUGUGUCGCCGCAAUGCCGGUGCUUAGAAGCAAGCUCUUUCGUCGUCACCAAUCACCACCACCAGGAACAGGAGGAUGUGGUGCCGUGGGUGAAGCCUGGUUGCAGUGGCUCAUGCCAAUCUUGGUCUGGUAUGGGGAGCGACUGGUCCCUGUCCGUCCUCUCUUGACUUCAUGGAGCAAGCUAGUAGUAGAGAGAGAUAGAGAGAGAUUUGGGAGGUUAUACAUCUUCCCGUCCGUGAGGCGUGAGUAGGGAUGGCAACGGGGAAUUCCCCGUCGGGUUUUAGCUCCCCAAACCCGUCCCCGCGACGAAAAAAUUUCCCCAUGGGGAUCCCCACGAAUGCUUGCGGGGGACAUUUCUUCCCCAUCCCCGUUCCCCGCGGGGAUAAAUCCCCGUCGGGUAUCCCCAUCCCCAUUUAAAUUAUAAUUAAAUCAUAC
rnacentral:misc_RNA from 1 species